GGUAUGGGAUGAGCUUGCGUCCGAUUAGCUAGUUGGCGGGGCAACGGCCCACCAAGGCGACGAUCGGUAGCCGGCCUGAGAGGGUGAUCGGCCACAUUGGGACUGAGAUACGGCCCAGACUCCUACGGGAGGCAGCAGUAGGGAAUAUUGCACAAUGGGGGAAACCCUGAUGCAGCAACGCCACGUGUGGGAAGAAGCAUUUCGGUGUGUAAACCACUGUCGUGAGGGAAUAAACUCGCUUUUCGGAGCGACUGAAUGUACCUCGAGAGGAAGCACCGGCAAACUUCGUGCCAGCAGCCGCGGUAAUACGAGGGGUGCAAGCGUUGUUCGGUAUCACUGGGCGUAAAGGGAGCGUAGGCGGAAGCGCAAGCGGACUGUACAAUACCGGGGCCCAACCCCGGACCUGCAGUUCGGACUGCGUUUCUUGGAUAGUUCAGGGGCAGGC
rnacentral:rRNA from 1 species